AGCAGGGGGCGGGAUCUGAGGGCAGAUCCCAGGUCUCCUCAUGCCUGUGGCAUUCGACAGGCACAUGCAGGUACGGGGCAAGUGUGGAACAAACCUGCUUUUCUCCAGCCAAGAUCGGCCAACCUGAUGAAAAGGACGAUUAAUCCAGCUGCCUCCCACUAAUCCACCGGCCCAUUUGGACCGGAACUUCUCUUUAUGUUUUUCAUGGAGCAUUUCAUUUGAUCUGCACCAAAUCCAUGUGUGGGCCCUGCUUUGAGGCCACGCCGUCUCCAUCCUGAGCUACGCAUCUCUUACCGCCAAUUGAAAACGGAGGAAGCAGCUCGGGCUUCAACAGAAGCAG